AUUGAACGCUGGCGGCAGGCCUAACACAUGCAAGUCGAGCGGAUGAAGGGAGCUUGCUCCUGGAUUCAGCGGCGGACGGGUGAGUAAUGCCUAGGAAUCUGCCUGGUAGUGGGGGAUAACGUCCGGAAACGGGCGCUAAUACCGCAUACGUCCUGAGGGAGAAAGUGGGGGAUCUUCGGACCUCACGCUAUCAGAUGAGCCUAGGUCGGAUUAGCUAGUUGGUGGGGUAAAGGCCUACCAAGGCGGCGAUCCGUAACUGGUCUGAGAGGAGGAUCAGUCACACUGGAACUGAGACACGGUCCAGACUCCUACGGGAGGCAGCAGUGGGGAAUAUUGGACAAUGGGCGAAAGCCUGAUCCAGCCAUGCCGCGUGUGUGAAGAAGGUCUUCGGAUUGUAAAGCACUUUAAGUUGGGAGGAAGGGCAGUAAGUUAAUACCUUGCUGUUUUGACGUUACCAACAGAAUAAGCACCGGCUAACUUCGU
rnacentral:rRNA from 1 species